rnacentral:lncRNA from 1 species
GUGGUCUACCAGAGAGGGCACAUGUGCCUCAAUUGGCCUAUAGCAUAGCGACUCAUUAUCCUUCCACCGCUGGUGGCGGGCGAUACUCGCUGCUCUGUGAAGCCAGCCUCACGCAAUGUCCGCCACUUUAGGUGUUGGGAUGCAAAGGCUUUCUCCAAGGCAUCCGAAACCCACUACACAACUUGGAAUGGGUGGUCCACAGUUUGUAGCACUAGACCCAGGCACAUGCACCACAAUUGACAUCCACACUACCUUAUUGCCCCCGCUCGGGUUACAAGCAAUCGCUACUUGCUCAGCGAGUGAGGGGGUUCAAGACUACCUAUUUAAGGUGGUGUUGUACUCUAUGAGCCGACAGUGUGGUAUUUACCAACUACAAAUAGUGUCAUGCAUGUGACUUGCUAGUUGACAAUGUCUGUUGUCGAGCUAGAUGUGGGCUAUGGAUGAAGCACAUUAGGAUAUAGUAGGCCUAUUUUGUUUUUUGUUGUUUUUGGGCCACUAUGGACUUUAUGUUGAUGUUGUGAAAUUUUUUCCUGUGUUUCCUCUUCCUACGAUGUGGAAAGUGGGUGCGUCAGAGAAGAAAGAAAGAGUAGCUAGCAUUGAUUUUACGUCAUACCAUUGAGAACACUAAUCAGAAGCAGAAGCAACAAUAUUUCAUACAUAUACAACACUUGUAAUCCAUAUAAACAACUUUCCUUUAAAAUAUAAUAUAAACCACUUGAUUUAUAUCCUGGGUCGGCUAUCUCCACAAAGGGCAAGAAAACGCACCAAGUUUGUAGUAUAGAACUAAAAGUGUCGAUUCUCACGAUUUCUUCCCAACAUAUACAAACUAGACAGUAAUCACAUAAAAUAAAGAAAUAUGUGUUAACACGAACUUAUAGCAUGUAUUUCAACAUAUAGAUUGUUGAUUAUUAUGGUAGAUUAUAUAAAAUAGGGGUUCCCGAAGAAAUACAUAAAAACAAGAGCAUUAAAAGUUCCUUUUCAGAUCUGGCUAUCUAGUAAAAGGAGUUGGAGUAACUGAGUUUCCAAAUUUGUGACGUAGCUCUAUAGAAGGAAUAUAAAUACGUUGGAAAAAUUCUACAAGGAAAGGUCUAAUACAAGUAGGGCUAAGAAAAACUCAAUGAGGCUUUGGUCACAUGGUCACAAAACUUGAGACAAGAAACACGAAGACACCAAGGUAAUUAGUAUGAGAGUUUUCCAAAUUUGGUGUCUUGAUGUAGAAAAAAUAAAUAUAUGACAAACUUGUUUUUUCGCAAGGCAUGGAUAAAUAAGUGGGGGUGAACAAUAAAUUUCAUCCUAGAUUUAGAAGGAAUAAAUAUAUCACUAAAUACGUUUUUUCACAAUGCCAAGUUAAUCAGGUGGGAGCGAGAAACAAUUCUAGCGAGGCUAGUUUGUACUAGCCCAAAACUACAUACAACAGAGGAAAAAUGAAGAAAAUGAUGGUCUACCAAAUAGGGCGCAUGAGCCUUAAGGUGCACCUAGAGGGAAGUAGAAGAAAUAAAUAUAUAAUAGCAUAUGUUUUUCGCAAUGCAAGGUAAAGUGUAGAUGUGCUCUAACUGGGCUUAGAUUGCAGCGACACAUUAUGCAUCUACAAGGCUUGGUUGCACAUGGAAAAAGAUAGAGAGAGAAAUGUAGACGCAGGACCGGGAGAAAAACAUUCAAUGAGACAUGAUUGCACGGACAUAGAACUAGAUAUAAGACAAGAGUUAAAGAAAAAUAAAGGAACUAAAUUUUCUUCUACACACUCAGCAUGAAUGGAGUUGUAGUAUCUGAGAUCAAAAUUUAAUUUAUUCCAAGAUGCAGAACAAAAACGUGAUACUCGUAAUGGUUACAUAGGAACAAAAGUAGAUAAGAAAAAUAGCAAAAAGAUAGUGGUCUACCAGAGAGGGCACAUGUGCCUCAAUUGGCCUAUAGCAUAGCGACUCAUUAUCCUUCCACCGCUGGUGGCGGGCGGUACUCGCUGCUCUAUGAAGCCAGCCUCACGCAAUGUCCGCCACUUUAGGUGUUGGGAUGCAAAGGCUUUCGCCAAGGCAUCCGAAACCCACUACACAACUUGGAAUGGGUGGUCCACAGUUUGUAGCACUAGACCCAGGCACAUGCACCACAAUUGACAUCCACACUACCUUAUUGCCCCCGCUCGGGUUACAAGCAAUCGCUACUUGCUCAGCGAGUGAGGGGGUUCAAGACUACCUAUUUAAGGUGGUGUUGUACUCUAUGAGCCGACAGUGUGGUAUUUACCAACUACAAAUAGUGUCAUGCAUGUGACUUGCUAGUUGACAAUGUCUGUUGUCGAGCUAGAUGUGGGCUAUGGAUGAAGCACAUUAGGAUAUAGUAGGCCUAUUUUGUUUUUUGUUAUUUUUGGGCCACUAUGGACUUUAUGUUGAUGUUGUGAAAUUUUUUCUUGUGUUUCCUCUUCCUACGAUGUGGAAAGUGGGUGCGUCAGAGAAGAAAGAAAGAGUAGCUAGCAUUGAUUUUCCGUCAUACCAUUGAGAACACUAAUCAGAAGCAGAAGCAACAAUAUUUCAUACAUAUACAACACUUGUAAUCCAUAUAAACAACUUUCCUUUAAAAUAUAAUGUAAACCACAUGAUUUAUAUCUAGGGUCGGCUAUCUCCACAAAGGGCAAGAAAACGCUCCAAGUUUGUAGUAUAGAACUAAAAGUGUCGAUUCUCACGAUUUCUUCCCGACAUAUACAAACUAGACAGUAAUCACAUAAAAUAAAGAAAUAUGUGUUAACACGAACUUAUAGCAUGUAUUUCAACAUAUAGAUUGUUGAUUAUUAUGGUAGAUUAUAUAAAAUAGGGGUUCCCGAAGAAAUACGUAAAAACAAGAGCAUUAAAAUUUCCUUUUCAGAUCUGGCUAUCUAGUAAAAGGAGUUGGAGUAACUGAGUUUCCAAAUUUGUGACGUAGCUCUAUAGAAGGAAUAUAAAUACGUUGGAAAAAUUCUACAAGGAAAGGUCUAAUACAAGUAGGGCUAAGAAAAACUCAAUGAGGCUUUGGUCGCAUGGUCACAAAACUUGAGACAAGAAACACGAAGACACCAAGGUAAUUAGUAUGAGAGUUUUCCAAAUUUGGUGUCUUGAUGUAGAAAAAAUAAAUAUAUGACAAACUUGUUUUUUCGCAAGGCAUGGAUAAAUAAGUGGGGGUGAACAAUAAAUUCAUCCUAGAUUUAGAAGGAAUAAAUAUAUCACUAAAUACGUUUUUUCACAAUGCCAAGUUAAUCAGGUGGGAGCGAGAAACAAUUCUAGCGAGGCUAGGUUGUACUAGCCCAAAACUACAUACAACAGAGGAAAAAUGAAGAAAAUGGUGGUCUACCAAAUAGGGCGCAUGAGCCUUAAGGUGCACCUAGAGGGAAGUAGAAGAAAUAAAUAUAUAAUAGCAUAUGUUUUUCGCAAUGCAAGGUAAAGUGUAGAUGUGCUCUAACUGGGCUUAGAUUGUAGCGACACAUUAUGCAUCUACAAGGCUUGGUUGCUCAUGGAAAAAGAUAGAGACAGAAAUGUAGACGCAGGACCGGGAGAAAAACAUUCAAUGAGACGUGAUUGCACGGACAUAGAACUAGUUAUAAGACAAGAGUUAAAGAAAAAUAAAGGAACUAAAUUUUCUUCUGCACACUAAGCAUGAAUGGAGUUGUAGUAUCUGAGAUCAAAAUUUAAUUUAUUCCAAGAUGCAGAACAAAAACGUGAUACUCGUAAUGGUUACAUAGGAACAAAAGUAGAUAAGAAAAAUAGCAAAAAGAUAGUGGUCUACCAGAGAGGGCACAUGUGCCUCAAUUGGCCUAUAGCAUAGCGACUCAUUAUCCUUCCACCGCUGGUGGCGGGCGGUACUCGCUGCUCUGUGAAGCCAACCUCACGCAAUGUCCGCCACUUUAGGUGUUGGGAUGCAAAGGCUUUCGCCAAGGCAUCCGAAACCCACUACACAACUUGGAAUGGGUGGUCCACAGUUUGUAGCACUAGACCCAGGCACAUGCACCACAAUUAACAUUCACACUACCUUAUUGCCCCCGCUCGGGUUACAAGCAAUCGCUACUUGCUCAGCGAGUGAGGGGGUUCAAGACUACCUAUUUAAGGUGGUGUUGUACUGUAUGAGCCGGCGGUGUGGUAUUUACCAACUACAAAUAGUGUCAUGCAUGUGACUUGCUAGUUGACAAUGUCUGUUGUCGAGCUAGAUGUGGGCUAUGGAUGAAGCACAUUAGGAUAUAGUAGGCCUAUUUUGUUUUUUGUUGUUUUUGGGACACUAUGGACUUUAUGUUGAUGUUGUGAAAUUUUUUCUUGUGUUUCCUUUUCCUACGAUGUGGAAAGUGGGUGCGUCAGAGAAGAAAGAAAGAGUGGCUAGCAUUGAUUUUACGUCAUACCGUUGAGAACACUAAUCAGAAGCAGAAGCAACAAUAUUUCAUACAUAUACAACACUUGUAAUCCAUAUAAACAACUUUCCUUUAAAAUAUAAGAUAAACCACAUGAUUUAUAUCCUGGGUCGGCUAUCUCCACAAAGGGCAAGAAAACGCUCCAAGUUUGUAGUAUAGAACUAAAAGUGUCGAUUCUCACGAUUUCUUCCCGACAUAUACAAACUAGACAGUAAUCACAUAAAAUAAAGAAAUAUGUGUUAACAAGAACUUAUACCAUGUAUUUCAACAUAUAGAUUGUUGAUUAUUAUGGUAGAUUAUAUAAAAUAGGGGUUCCCGAAGCAAUACAUAAAAACAAGAGCAUUAAAAUUUCCUUUUCAGAUUUGGCUAUCUGGUAAAAGGAGUUGGAGUAACUGAGUUUCCAAAUUUGUGCCGUAGCUCUAUAGAAGGAAUAUAAAUACGUUGGAAAAAUUCUAUAAGGAAAGGUUUAAUACAAGUAGGGCUAAGAAAAACUCAAUGAGGCUUUGGUCGCAUGGUCACAAAACUUGAGACAAGAAACACGAAGACACCAAGGUAAUUAGUAUGAGAGUUUUCCAAAUUUGGUGUCUUGAUGUAGAAAAAUAAAUAUAUGAAAAACUUGUUUUUUCGCAAGGCAUGGAUAAAUAAGUGGGGGUGAGCAAUAAAUUUCAUCCUUGAUUUAGAAGGAAUAAAUAUAUCACUAAAUACGUUUUUUCACAAUGCCAAGUUAAUCAGGUGGGACCGAGAAACAAUUCUAGCGAGGCUAGGUUGUACUAGCCCAAAACUACAUACUACAGAGGAAAAAUGAAGAAAAUGAUGGUCUACCAAAUAUGGCGCAUGAGCCUUAAGGUGCACCUAGAGGGAAGUAGAAGAAAUAAAUAUAUAAUAGCAUAUGUUUUUCGCAAUGCAAGGUAAAGUGUAGAUGUGCUCUAACUAGGCUUAGAUUGCAGCGACACAUUAUGCAUCUACAAGGCUUGGUUGCACAUGGAAAAAGAUAGAGAGAGAAAUGUAGACGCAGGACCGAGAGAAAAACAUUCAAUGAGACGUGAUUGCACGGACAUAGAACUAGAUAUAAGACAAGAGUUAAAGAAAAAUAAAGGAACUAAAUUUUCUUCUGCACACUAAGCAUGAAUGGAGUUGUAGUAUCUGAGAUCAAAAUUUAAUUUAUUCCAAGAUGCAGAACAAAAACGUGAUACUCGUAAUGGUUACAUAGGAACAAAAGUAGAUAAGAAAAAUAGCAAAAAGAUAGUGGUCUACCAGAGAGGGCACAUGUGCCUCAAUUGGCCUAUAGCAUAGCGACUCAUUAUCCUUCCACCGCUGGUGGCGGGCGGUACUCGCUGCUCUGUGAAGCCAGCCUCACGCAAUGUCCGCCACUUUAGGUGUUGGGAUGCAAAGGCUUUCGCCAAGGCAUCCGAAACCCACUACACAACUUGGAAUGGGUGUUCCACAAUUUGUAGCACUAGACCCAGGCACAUGCACCACAAUUGACAUCCACACUACCUUAUUGCCUCCGCUCGGGUUACAAGCAAUCGCUACUUGCUCAGCGAGUGAGGGGGUUCAAGACUACCUAUUUGAGGUGGUGUUGUACUCUAUGAGCCGGCGGUGUGGUAUUUACCAACUACAAAUAGUGUCAUGCAUGUGACUUGCUAGUUGACAAUGUCUGUUGUCGAGCUAGAUGUGGGCUAUGGAUGAAGCACAUUAGGAUAUAGUAGGCCUAUUUUGUUUUUUGUUGUUUUUGGGCCACUAUGGACUUUAUGUUGAUGUUGUGAAAUUUUUUCUUGUGUUUCCUCUUCAUACGAUGUGGAAAGUGGGUGCCGUCAGAGAAGAAAGAAAGAGCGGCUAGCAUUGAUUUUACGUCAUACCAUUGAGAACACUAAUUAGAAGCAGAAGCAACAAUAUUUCAUACAUAUACAACACUUGUAAUCCAUAUAAACAACAUUCCUUUAAAAUAUAAUAUAAACCACAUGAUUUAUAUCCUGGGUCAGCUAUCUCCACAAAGGGCAAGAAAACGCUCCAAGUUUGUAGUAUAGAACUAAAAGUGUCGAUUCUCACGAUUUCUUCCCGACAUAUACAAACUAGACAGUAAUCACAUAAAAUAAAGAAAUAUGUGUUAACACGAACUUAUAACAUGUAUUUCAACAUAUAGAUUGUUGAUUAUUAUGGUAGAUUAUAUAAAAUAGGGGUUCCCGAAGAAAUACAUAAAAACAAGAGCAUUAAAAUUUCCUUUUCAGAUCUGGCUAUCUGGUAAAAGGAGUUGGAGUAACUGAGUUUCCAAAUUUGUGACGUAGCUCUAUAGAAGGAAUAUAAAUACGUUGGAAAAAUUCUACAAGGAAAGGUUUAAUACAAGUAGGGCUAAGAAAAACUCAAUGAGGCUUUGGUCGCAUGGUCACAAAACUUGAGACAAGAAACACGAAGACACCAAGGUAAUUAGUAUGAGAGUUUUCCAAAUUUGGUGUCUUGAUGUAGAAAAAAUAAAUAUAUGACAAACUUGUUUUUUCGCAAGGCAUGGAUAAAUAAGUGGGGGCGAGCAAUAAAUUUCAUCCUAGAUUUAGAAGGAAUAAAUAUAUCACUAAAUACGUUUUUUCAUAAUGCCAAGUUAAUCAGGUGGGAGCGAGAAACAAUUCUAGCGAGGUUAGGUUGUACUAGCCCAAAACUACAUACAACAGAGGAAAAAUGAAGAAAAUGAUGGUCUACCAAAUAUGGCGCAUGAGCCUUAAGGUGCACGUAGAGGGAAGUAUAAGAAAUAAAUAUAUAAUAGCAUAUGUUUUUCGCAAUGCAAGGUAAAGUGUAGAUGUGCUCUAACUGGGCUUAGAUUGCAGCGACACAUUAUGCAUCUACAAGGCUUGGUUGCACAUGGAAAAAGAUAGAGAGAGAAAUGUAGACACAGGACCGGGAGAAAAACAUUCAAUGAGACAUGAUUGCACGGACAUAGAACUAGAUAUAAGACAAGAGUUAAAGAAAAAUAAAGGAACUAAAUUUUCUUCUACACACUCAGCAUGAAUGGAGUUGUAGUAUCUGAGAUCAAAAUUUAAUUUAUUCCAAGAUGCAGAACAAAAACGUGAUACUCGUAAUGGUUACAUAGGAACAAAAGUAGAUAAGAAAAAUAGCAAAAAGAUAGUGGUCUACCAGAGAGGGCACAUGUGCCUCAAUUGGCCUAUAGCAUAGCGACUCAUUAUCCUUCCACCGCUGGUGGCGGGCGGUACUCGCUGCUCUGUGAAGCCAGCCUCACGCAAUGUCCGCCACUUUAGGUGUUGGGAUGCAAAGGCUUUCGCCAAGGCAUCCGAAACCCACUACACAACUUGGAAUGGGUGUUCCACAGUUUGUAGCACUAGACCAUGGCACAUGCACCACAAUUGACAUCCACACUACCUUAUUGCCCCCGCUCGGGUUACAAGCAAUCACUACUUGCUCAUCAAGUGAGGGGGUUCAAGACUACCUAUUUAAGGUGGUGUUGUACUCUAUGAGCCGACGGUGUGGUAUUUACCAACUACAAAUAGUGUCAUGCAUGUGACUUGCUAGUUGACAAUGUCUGUUGUCGAGCUAGAUGUGGGCUAUGGAUGAAGCACAUUAGGAUAUAGUAGGCCUAUUUUGUUUUUUGUUGUUUUUGGGCCACUAUGGACUUUAUGUUGACGUUGUGAAAUUUUUUCUUGUGUUUCCUCUUCCUACGAUGUGGAAAGUGGGUGCCGUCAGAGAAGAAAGAAAGAGUGGCUAGCAUUGAUUUUACGUCAUACCAUUGAGAACACUAAUCAGAAGCAGAAGCAACAAUAUUUCAUACAUAUACAACACUUGUAAUCCAUAUAAACAACUUUCCUUUAAAAUAUAAUAUAAACCACAUGAUUUAUAUCCUGGGUCGGCUAUCUCCACAAAGGGCAAGAAAACGCUCCAAGUUUGUAGUAUAGAACUAAAAGUGUCGAUUCUCACGAUUUCUUCCCGACAUAUACAAACUAGACAGUAAUCACAUAAAAUAAAGAAAUAUGUGUUAACACGAACAUAUAGCAUGUAUUUCAACAUAUAGAUUGUUGAUUAUUAUGGUAGAUUAUAUAAAAUAGGGGUUCCCGAAGAAAUACAUAAAAACAAGAGCAUUGAAAUUUCCUUUUCAGAUCUGGCUAUCUGGUAAAAGGAGUUGGAGUAACUGAGUUUCCAAAUUUGUGACGUAGCUCUAUAGAAGGAAUAUAAAUACGUUGGAAAAAUUCUACAAGGAAAGGUUUAAUACAAGUAGGGCUAAGAAAAACUCAAUGAGGCUUUGGUCGCAUGGUCACAAAACUUGAGACAAGAAACACGAAGACACCAAGGUAAUUAGUAUGAGAGUUUUCCAAAUUUGGUGUCUUGAUGUAGAAAAAAUAAAUAUAUGACAAACUUGUUUUUUCGCAAGGCAUGGAUAAAUAAGUGGGGGCGAGCAAUAAAUUUCAUCCUAGAUUUAGAAGGAAUAAAUAUAUCACUAAAUACGUUUUUUCAUAAUGCCAAGUUAAUCAGGUGGGAGCGAGAAACAAUUCUAGCGAGGCUAGGUUGUACUAGCCCAAAACUACAUACAACAGAGGAAAAAUGAAGAAAAUGAUGGUCUACCAAAUAUGGCGCAUGAGCCUUAAGGUGCACCUAGAGGGAAGUAGAAGAAAUAAAUAUAUAAUAGCAUAUGUUUUUCGCAAUGCAAGGUAAAGUGUAGAUGUGCUCUAACUGGGCUUAGAUUGCAGCGACACAUUAUGCAUCUACAAGGCUUGGUUGCACAUGGAAAAAGAUAGAGAGAGAAAUGUAGACACAGGACCGGGAGAAAAACAUUCAAUGAGACAUGAUUGCACGGACAUAGAACUAGAUAUAAGACAAGAGUUAAAGAAAAAUAAAGGAACUAAAUUUUCUUCUGCACACUCAGCAUGAAUGGAGUUGUAGUAUCUGAGAUCAAAAUUUAAUUUAUUCCAAGAUGCAGAACAAAAACGUGAUACUCGUAAUGGUUACAUAGGAACAAAAGUAGAUAAGAAAAAUAGCAAAAAGAUAGUGGUCUACCAGAGAGGGCACAUGUGCCUCAAUUGGCCUAUAGCAUAGCGACUCAUUAUCCUUCCACCGCUGGUGGCGGGCGGUACUCGCUGCUCUGUGAAGCCAGCCUCACGCAAUGUCCGCCACUUUAGGUGUUGGGAUGCAAAGGCUUUCGCCAAGGCAUCCGAAACCCACUACACAACUUGGAAUGGGUGGUCCAAAGUUUGUAGCACUAGACCCAGGCACAUGCACCACAAUUGACAUCCACACUACCUUAUUGCCCCCGCUCGGGUUACAAGCAAUCGCUACUUGCUCAGCGAGUGAGGGGGUUCAACACUACCUAUUUAAGGUGGUGUUGUACUCUAUAAGCCGGCGGUGUGGUAUUUACCAACUACAAAUAGUGUCAUGCAUGUGACUUGCUAGUUGACAAUGUCUGUUGUCGAGCUAGAUGUGGGCUAUGGAUGAAGCACAUUAUGAUAUAGUAGGCCUAUUUUGUUUUUUGUUGUUUUUGGGCCACUAUGGACUUUAUGUUGAUGUUGUGAAAUUUUUUCUUGUGUUUCCUCUUCCUACGAUGUGUAAAGUGGGUGUGUUAGAGAAGAAAGAAAGAGUGGCUAGCAUUGAUUUUACGUCAUACCAUUGAGAACACUAAUCAGAAGCAGAAGCAACAAUAUUUCAUACAUAUACAACACUUGUAAUCCAUAUAAACAACUUUCCUUUAAAAUAUAAUAUAAACCACAUGAUUUAUAUCCUGGGUCGGCUAUCUCCACAAAGGGCAAGAAAACGCUCCAAGUUUGUAGUAUAGAACUAAAAGUGUCGAUUCUCACGAUUUCUUCCCGACAUAUACAAACUAGACAGUAAUCACAUAAAAUAAAGAAAUAUGUGUUAACACGAACUUAUAGCAUGUAUUUCAACAUAUAGAUUGUUGAUUAUUAUGGUAGAUUAUAUAAAAUAGGGGUUCCCAAAGAAAUACAUAAAACAAGAGCAUUAAAAUUUCCUUUUCAGAUCUGGCUAUCUGGUAAAAGGAGUUGGAGUAACUGAGUUUCCAAAUUUGUGACGUAGCUCUAUAGAAGGAAUAUAAAUACGUUGGAAAAAUUCUACAAGGAAAGGUUUAAUACAAGUAGGGCUAAGAAAAACUCAAUGAGGCUUUGGUCGCAUGGUCACAAAACUUGAGACAAGAAACACGAAGACACAAAGGUAAUUAGUAUGAGAGUUUUCCAAAUUUGGUGUCUUGAUGUAGAAAAAAUAAAUAUAUGACAAACUUGUUUUUUCGCAAGGCAUGGAUAAAUAAGUGGGGGUGAGCAAUAAAUUUCAACCUAGAUUUAGAAGGAAUAAAUAUAUCACUAAAUACAUUUUUUACAAUGCCAAGUUAAUCAGGUAGGAGCGAGAAACAAUUCUAGCGAGGCUAGGUUGUACUAGCCCAAAACUACAUACAAAAGAGGAAAAAUGAAGAAAAUGAUGGUCUACCAAAUAUGGCACAUGAGCCUUAAGGUGCACCUAGAGGGAAGUAGAAGAAUAAAUAUAUAAUAGCAUAUGUUUUUCGCAAUGCAAGGUAAAGUGUAGAUGUGCUCUAACUGGGCUUAGAUUGCAGCGACACAUUAUGCAUCUACAAGGCUUGGUUGCACAUGGAAAAAGAUAGAGAGAGAAAUGUAGACGCAGGACCGGGAGAAAAACAUUCAAUGAGACGUGAUUGCACGGACAUAGAACUAGAUAUAAGACAAGAGUUAAAGAAAAAAGGAACUAAAUUUUCUUGUGCACACUAAGCAUGAAUGGAGUUGUAGUAUCUGAGAUCAAAAUUUAAUUUAUUCCAAGAUGCAGAACAAAAACGUGAUACUCGUAAUGGUUACAUAGGAACAAAAGUAGAUAAGAAAAAUAGCAAAAAGAUAUUGGUCUACCAGAGAGGGCACAUGUGCCUCAAUUGGCCUAUAGCAUAGUGGCUCAUUAUCCUUCAACCGCUGGUGGCGGGCGGUACUCGCUGCUCUGUGAAGCCAGCCUCACGCAAUGUCCGCCACUUUAGGUGUUGGGAUGCAAAGGCUUUCGCCAAGGCAUCCGAAACCCACUACACAACUUGGAAUGGGUGGUCCACAGUUUGUAGCACUAGACCCAGGCACAUGCACCACAAUUGACAUUCACACUACCUUAUUGCCCCCGCUCGGGUUACAAGCAAUCGCUACUUGCUCAGCGAGUGAGGGGGGUUCAAGACUACCUAUUUAAGGUGGUGUUGUACUGUAUGAGCCGGCGGUGUGGUAUUUACCAACUACAAAUAGUGUCAUGCAUGUGACUUGCUAGUUGACAAUGUCUGUUGUGGAGCUAGAUGUGGGCUAUGGAUGAAGCACAUUAGGAUAUAGUAGGCCUAUUUUGUUUUUUGUUAUUUUUGGGCCACUAUGGACUUUAUGUUGAUGUUGUGAAUUUUUUUCUUGUGUUUCCUCUUCCUACGAUGUGGAAAGUGGGUGCGUCAGAGAAGAAAGAAAGAGUGGCUAGCAUUGAUUUUACGUCAUACCAUUGAGAACACUAAUCAGAAGCAGAAGCAACAAUAUUUCAUACAUAUACAACACUUGUAAUCCAUAUAAACAACUUUCCUUUCAAAUAUAAUAUAAACCACAUGAUUUAUAUCCUGGGUCGGCUAUCUCCACAAAGGGCAAGAAAACGCUCCAAGUUUGUAGUAUAGAACUAAAAGUGUCGACUCUCACGAUUUCUUCCCGACAUAUGCAAACUAGACAGUAAUCACAUAAAAUAAAGAAAUAUGUGUUAACACAAACUUAUAACAUGUAUUUCAACAUAUAGAUUUUUGAUUAUUAUGGUAGAUUAUAUAAUAUAGGGGUUCCCGAAGAAAUACAUAAAAAACAAGAGCAUUAAAAUUUCCUUUUCAGAUCUGGCUAACUGGUAAAGGGAGUUGGAGUAUCUGUGUUUCCAAAUUUGGGACGUCGCUCUAUAGAAGGAAUAUAAAUACAUUGGAAAAAAAUUCUACAAGGAAAGGUUUAAUACAAGUAGGGCUAAGAAAAACUCAAUGAGGCUUUGGUCGCAUGGUCACAAAACUUGAGACAAGAAACACGAAGACACCAAGGUAAUUAGUAUGAGAGUUUUCCAAAUUUGGUGUCUUGAUGUAGAAAAAAUAAAUAUAUGACAAACUUGUUUUUUCGCAAGGCAUGGAUAAAUAAGUGGGGGUGAGCAAUAAAUUUCAUCCUAGAUUUAGAAGGAAUAAAUAUAUCACUAAAUACGUUUUUUCAUAAUGCCAAGUUAAUCAGGUGGGAGCGAGAAACAAUUCUAGCGAGGCUAGGUUGUACUAGCCCAAAACUACAUACAACAGAGGAAAAAUGAAGAAAAUGAUGGUCUACCAAAUAUGGCGCAUGAGCCUUAAGGUGCACCUAGAGGGAAGUAGAAGAAAUAAAUAUAUAAUAGCAUAUGUUUUUCUCAAUGCAAGGUAAAGUGUAGAUGUGCUCUAACUGGGCUUAGAUUGCAGCGACACAUUAUGCAUCUACAAGGCUUGGUUGCACAUGGAAAAAGAUAGAGAGAGAAAUGUAGACACAGGACGGGGAGAAAAACAUUCAAUGAGACAUGAUUGCACGGACAUAGAACUAGAUAUAAGACAAGAGUUAAAGAAAAAUAAAGGAACUAAAUUUUCUUCUGCACACUCAGCAUGAAUGGAGUUGUAGUAUCUGAGAUCAAAAUUUAAUUUAUUCCAAGAUGCAGAACAAAAACGUGAUACUCGUAAUGGUUACAUAGGAACAAAAGUAGAUAAGAAAAAUAGCAAAAAGAUAGUGGUCUACCAGAGAGGGCACAUGUGCCUCAAUUGGCCUAUAGCAUAGCGACUCAUUAUCCUUCCACCGCUGGUGGCGGGCGGUACUCGCUGCUCUGUGAAGCCAGCCUCACGCAAUGUCCGCCACUUUAGGUGUUGGGAUGCAAAGGCUUUCGCCAAGGCAUCCGAAACCCACUACACAACUUGGAAUGGGUGGUCCACAGUUUGUAGCACUAGACCCAGGCACAUGCACCACAAUUGACAUCCACACUACCUUAUUGCCCCCGCUCGGGUUACAAGCAAUCGCUACUUGCUCAGCGAGUGAGGGGGUUCAAGACUACCUAUUUAAGGUGGUGUUGUACUCUAUAAGCCGGCGGUGUGGUAUUUACCAACUACAAAUAGUGUCAUGCAUGUGACUUGCUAGUUGACAAUGUCUGUUGUCGAGCUAGAUGUGGGCUACGGAUGAAGCACAUUAUGAUAUAGUAGGCCUAUUUUGUUUUUUGUUGUUUUUGGGCCACUAUGGACUUUAUGUUGAUGUUGUGAAAUUUUUUCUUGUGUUUCCUCUUCCUACGAUGUGGAAAGUGGGUGUGUUAGAGAAGAAAGAAAGAGUGGCUAGCAUUGAUUUUACGUCAUACCAUUGAGAACACUAAUCAGAAGCAGAAGCAACAAUAUUUCAUACAUAUACAACACUUGUAAUCCAUAUAAACAACUUUCCUUUAAAAUAUAAUAUAAACCACAUGAUUUAUAUCCUGGGUCGGCUAUCUCCACAAAGGGCAAGAAAACGCUCCAAGUUUGUAGUAUAGAACUAAAAGUGUCGAUUCUCACGAUUUCUUCCCGACAUAUACAAACUAGACAGUAAUCACAUAAAAUAAAGAAAUAUGUGUUAACACAAACUUAUAGCAUGUAUUUCAACAUAUAGAUUGUUGAUUAUUAUGGUAGAUUAUAUAAAAUAGAGGUUCCCGAAGAAAUACAUAAAAACAAGAGCAUUAAAAUUUCCAUUUCAGAUCUGGCUAUCUGGUAAAAGGAGUUGGAGUAACUGAGUUUCCAAAUUUGUGACGUAGCUCUAUAGAAGGAAUAUAAAUACGUUGGAAAAAUUCUACAAGGAAAGGUUUAAUACAAGUAGGGCUAAGAAAAACUCAAUGAGGCUUUGGUCGCAUGGUCACAAAACUUGAGACAAGAAACACGAAGACACCAAGGUAAUUAGUAUGAGAGUUUUCCAAAUUUGGUGUCUUGAUGUAGAAAAAAUAAAUAUAUGACAAACUUGUUUUUUCGCAAGGCAUGGAUAAAUAAGUGGGGGCGAGCAAUAAAUUUCAUCCUAGAUUUAGAAGGAAUAAAUAUAUCACUAAAUACGUUUUUUCAUAAUGCCAAGUUCAUCAGGUGGGAGCGAGAAACAAUUCUAGCGAGGUUAGGUUGUACUAGCCCAAAACUACAUACAACAGAGGAAAAAUGAAGAAAAUGAUGGUCUACCAAAUAUGGCGCAUGGGCCUUAAGGUGCACCUAGAGGGAAGUAUAAGAAAUAAAUAUAUAAUAGCCUAUGUUUUUCGCAAUGCAAGGUAAAGUGUAGAUGUGCUCUAACUGGGCUUAGAUUGCAGCGACACAUUAUGCAUCUACAAGGCUUGGUUGCACAUGGAAAAAGAUAGAGAGAGAAAUGUAGACACAGGACGGGGAGAAAAACAUUCAAUGAGACAUGAUUGCACGGACAUAGAACUAGAUAUAAGACAAGAGUUAAAGAAAAAUAAAGGAACUAAAUUUUCUUCUGCACACUCAGCAUGAAUGGAGUUGUAGUAUCUGAGAUCAAAAUUUAAUUUAUUCCAAGAUGCAGAACAAAAACGUGAUACUCGUAAUGGUUACAUAGGAACAAAAGUAGAUAAGAAAAAUAGCAAAAAGAUAGUGGUCUACCAGAGAGGGCACAUGUGCCUCAAUUGGCCUAUAGCAUAGCGACUCAUUAUCCUUCCACCGCUGGUGGCAGGCGGUACUCGCUGCUCUGUGAAGCCAGCCUCACGCAAUGUCCGCCACUUUAGGUGUUGGGAUGCAAAGGCUUUCGCCAAGGCAUCCGAAACCCACUACGCAACUUGGAAUGGGUGGUCCACAGUUUGUAGCACUAGACCCAGGCACAUGCACCACAAUUGACAUCCACACUACCUUAUUGCCCCCGCUCGGGUUACAAGCAAUCGCUACUUGCUCAGCGAGUGAGGGGGUUCAAGACUACCUAUUUAAGGUGGUGUUGUACUCUAUAAGCCGGCGGUGUGGUAUUUACCAACUACAAAUAGUGUCAUGCAUGUGACUUGCUAGUUGACAAUGUCUGUUGUCGAGCUAGAUGUGGGCUAUGGAUGAAACACAUUACGAUAUAGUAGGCCUAUUUUGUUUUUUGUUGUUUUUGGGCCACUAUGGACUUUAUGUUGAUGUUGUGAAAUUUUUUCUUGUGUUUCCUCUUCCUAUGAUGUGGAAAGUGGGUGGGUUAGAGAAGAAAGAAAGAGUGGCUAGCAUUGAUUUUACGUCAUACAAUUGAGAACACUAAUCAGAAGCAGAAGCAACAAUAUUUCAUACAUAUACAACACUUGUAAUCCAUAUAAACAACUUUCCUUUAAAAUAUAAUAUAAACCACAUGAUUUAUAUCCUGGGUCGGCUAUCUCCACAAAGGGCAAGAAAACGCUCCAAGUUUGUAGUAUAGAACUAAAAGUGUCGAUUCUCACGAUUUCUUCCCGACAUAUACAAACUAGACAGUAAUCACAUAAAAUAAAGAAAUAUGUGUUAACACGAACUUAUAGCAUGUAUUUCAACAUAUAGAUUGCUGAUUAUUAUGGUUGAUUAUAUAAAAUAGGGGUUCCCGAAGAAAUACAUAAAAACAAGAGCAUUAAAAUUUCCUUUUCAGAUCUGGCUAUCUGGUAAAAGGAGUUGGAGUAACUGAGUUUCCAAAUUUGUGACGUAGCUCUAUAGAAGGAAUAUAAAUACGUUGGAAAAAUUCUACAAGGAAAGGUUUAAUACAAGUAGGGCUAAGAAAAACUCAAUGAGGCUUUGGUCGCAUGGUCACAAAACUUGAGACAAGAAACACGAAGACACCAAGGUAAUUAGUAUGAGAGUUUUCCAAAUUUGGUGUCUUGAUGUAGAAAAAAUAAAUAUAUGACAAACUUGUUUUUUCGCAAGGCAUGGAUAAAUAAGUGGGGGUGAGCAAUAAAUUUCAUCCUAGAUUUAGAAGGAAUAAAUAUAUCACUAAAUACGUUUUUUACAAUGCCAAGUUAAUUAGGUGGGAGCGAGAAACAAUUCUAGCGAGGCUAGGUUGUACUAGCCCAAAACUACAUACAACAGAGGAAGAAUGAAGAAAAUGAUGGUCUACCAAAUAUGGCACAUGAGCCUUAAGGUGCACCUAGAGGGAAGUAGAAGAAUAAAUAUAUAAUAGCAUAUGUUUUUCGCAAUGCAAGGUAAAGUGUAGAUGUGCUCUAACUGGGCUUAGAUUGCAGCGACACAUUAUGCAUCUACAAGGCUUCGUUGCACAUGGAAAAAGAUAGAGAGAGAAAUGUAGACGCAGGACCGGGAGAAAAACAUUCAAUGAGACGUGAUUGCACGGACAUAGAACUAAGUAUAAGACAAGAGUUAAAGAAAAAAGGAACUAAAUUUUCUUGUGCACACUAAGCAUGAAUGGAGUUGUAGUAUCUGAGAUCAAAAUUUAAUUUAUUCCAAGAUGCAGAACAAAAACGUGAUACUCGUAAUGGUUACAUAGGAACAAAAGUAGAUAAGAAAAAUAGCAAAAAGAUAUUGGUCUACCAGAGAGGGCACAUGUGCCUCAAUUGGCCUAUAGCAUAGUGGCUCAUUAUCCUUCCACCGCUGGUGGCGGGCGGUACUCGCUGCUCUGUGAAGCCAGCCUCACGCAAUGUCCGCCACUUUAGGUGUUGGGAUGCAAAGGCUUUCGCCAAGGCAUCCGAAACCCACUACACAACUUGGAAUGGGUGGUCCACAGUUUGUAGCAAUAGACCCAGGCACAUGCACCACAAUUGACAUUCACACUACCUUAUUGCCCCCGCUCGGGUUACAAGCAAUCGCUACUUGCUCAGCGAGUGAGGGGGUUCAAGACUACCUAUUUAAGGUGGUGUUGUACUGUAUGAGCCGGCGGUGUGGUAUUUACCAACUACAAAUAGUGUCAUGCAUGUGACUUGCUAGUUGACAAUGUCUAUUGUCGAGCUAGAUGUGGGCUAUAGAUGAAGCACAUUAGGAUAUAGUAGGCCUAUUUUGUUUUUUGUUGUUUUUGGGCCACUAUGGACUUUAUGUUGAUGUUGUGAAAUUUUUUCUUGUGUUUCCUCUUCCUACGAUGUGGAAAGUGGGUGCUUCAGAGAAGAAAGAAAGAGUGGCUAGCAUUGAUUUUACGUCAUACCAUUGAGAACACUAAUCAGAAGCAGAAGCAACAAUAUUUCAUACAUAUACAACACUUGUAAUCCAUAUAAACAACUUUCCUUUCAAAUAUAAUAUAAACCACAUGAUUUAUAUCCUGGGUCGGCUAUCUCCACAAAGGGCAAGAAAACGCUCCAAGUUUGUAGUAUAGCACUAAAAGUGUCGACUCUCACGAUUUCUUCCCGACAUAUGCAAACUAGACAGUAAUCACAUAAAAUAAAGAAAUAUGUGUUAACACAAACUUAUAGCAUGUAUUUCAACAUAUAGAUUUUUGAUUAUUAUGGUAGAUUAUAUAAUAUAGGGGUUCCCGAAAAAAUACAUAAAAAACAAGAGCAUUAAAAUUUCCUUUUCAGAUCUGGCUAACUGGUAAAGGGAGUUGGAGUAUCUGAGUUUCCAAAUUUGGGACGUCGCUCUAUAGAAGGAAUAUAAAUACAUUGGAAAAAAUUCUACAAGGAAAGGUUUAAUACAAGUAGCGCUAAGAAAAACUCAAUGAGGCUUUGGUCGCUUGGUCACAAAACUUGAGACAAGAAACACGAAGACACCAAGGUAAUUAGUAUGAGAGUUUUCCAAAUUUGGUGUCUUGAUGUAGAAAAAAUAAAUAUAUGACAAACUUGUUUUUUCGCAAGGCAUGGAUAAAUAAGUGGGGGUGAGCAAUAAAUUUCAUCCUAGAUUUAGAAGGAAUAAAUAUAUCACUAAAUACGUUUUUUCACAAUGCCAAGUUAAUCAGGUGGGAGCGAGAAACAAUUCUAGCGAGGCUAGGUUGUACUAGCCCAAAACUACAUACAACAGAGGAAAAAUAAAGAAAAUGAUGGUCUACCAAAUAGGGCGCAUGAGCCUUAAGGUGCACCUAGAGGGAAGUAGAAGAAAUAAAUAUAUAAUAGCAUAUGUUUUUCGCAAUGCAAGGUAAAGUGUAGAUGUGCUCUAACUGGGCUUAGAUUGCAGCGACACAUUAUGCAUCUACAAGGCUUGGUUGCACAUGGAAAAAGAUAGAGAGAGAAAUGUAGACGCAGGACCGGGAGAAAAACAUUCAAUGAGACGUGAUUGCACGGACAUAGAACUAGAUAUAAGACAAGAGUUAAAGAAAAAUAAAGGAACUAAAUUUUCUUCUGCACACUAAGCAUGAAUGGAGUUGUAGUAUCUGAGAUCAAAAUUUAAUUUAUUCCAAGAUGCAGAACAAAAACGUGAUACUCGUAAUGGUUACAUAGGAACAAAAGUAGAUAAGAAAAAUAGCAAAAAGAUAGUGGUCUACCAGAGAGGGCACAUGUGCCUCAAUUGGCCUAUAGCAUAGCGACUCAUUAUCCUUCCACCGCUGGUGGCGGGCGGUACUCGCUGCUCUGUGAAGCCAGCCUCACGCAAUGUCCGCCACUUUAGGUGUUGGGAUGCAAAGGCUUUCGCCAAGGCAUCCGAAACCCACUACACAACUUGGAAUGGGUGGUCCACAGUUUGUAGCACUAGACCCAGGCACAUGCACCACAAUUGACAUCCACACUACCUUAUUGCCCCCGCUCGGGUUACAAGCAAUCGCUACUUGCUCAGCGAGUGAGGGGGUUCAAGACUACCUAUUUAAGGUGGUGUUGUACUCUAUGAGCCGGCGGUGUGGUAUUUACCAACUACAAAUAGUGUCAUGCAUGUGACUUGCUAGUUGACAAUGUCUGUUGUCAAGCUAGGUGUGGGCUAUGGAUGAAGCACAUUAGGAUAUAGUAGGCCUAUUUUGUUUUUUGUUGUUUUUGGGCCACUAUGGACUGUAUGUUGAUGUUGUGAAAUUUUUUUCUUGUGUUUCCUCUUCCUACGAUGUGGAAAGUGGGUGCGUCAGAGAAGAAAGAAAGAGUGGCUAGCAUUGAUUUUACGUCAUACCAUUGAGAACACUAAUCAGAAGCAGAAGCAACAAUAUUUCAUACAUAUACAACACUUGUAAUCCAUAUAAACAACAUUCCUUUAAAAUAUAAUAUAAACCACAUGAUUUAUAUCCUGGGUCGGCUAUCUCCACAAAGGGCAAGAAAACGCUCCAAGUUUGUAGUAUAGCACUAAAAGUGUCGAUUCUCACGAUUUCUUCCCGACAUAUACAAACUAGACAGUAAUCACAUAAAAUAAAGAAAUAUGUGUUAACACGAACUUAUAACAUGUAUUUCAACAUAUAGAUUGUUGAUUAUUAUGGUAGAUUAUAUAAAAUAGGGGUUCCCGAAGAAAUACAUAAAAACAAGAGCAUUAAAAUUUCCUUUUCAGAUCUGGCUAUCUGGUAAAAGGAGUUGGAGUAACUGAGUUUCCAAAUUUGUGACGUAGCUCUAUAGAAGGAAUAUAAAUACGUUGGAAAAAUUCUAUAAGGAAAGGUUUAAUACAAGUAGGGCUAAGAAAAACUCAAUGAGGCUUUGGUCGCAUGGUCACAAAACUUGAGACAAGAAACACGAAGACACCAAGGUAAUUAGUAUGAGAGUUUUCCAAAUUUGGUGUCUUGAUGUAGAAAAAAUAAAUAUAUGACAAACUUGUUUUUUCGCAAGGCAUGGAUAAAUAAGUGGGGGUGAGCAAUAAAUUUCAUCCUAGAUUUAGAAGGAAUAAAUAUAUCACUAAAUAUGUUUUUUCACAAUGCCAAGUUAAUCAGGUGGGAGCGAGAAACAAUUCUAGCGAGGCUAGGUUGUACUAGCCCAAAACUACAUACAACAGAGGAAAAAUGAAGAAAAUGAUGGUCUACCAAAUAUGGCGCAUGAGCCUUAAGGUGCACCUAGAGGGAAGUAGAAGAAAUAAAUAUAUAAUAGCAUAUGUUUUUCGCAAUGCAAGGUAAAGUGUAGAUGUGCUCUAACUGGGCUUAGAUUGCAGCGACACAUUAUGCAUCUACAAGGCUUGGUUGCACAUGGAAAAAGAUAGAGAGAGAAAUGUAGACGCAGGACCGGGAGAAAAACAUUCAACGAGACGUGAUUGCACGGACAUAGAACUAGAUAUAAGACAAGAGUUAAAGAAAAAUAAAGGAACUAAAUUUUCUUCUGCACACUAAGCAUGAAUGGAGUUGUAGUAUCUGAGAUCAAAAUUUAAUUUAUUCCAAGAUGCAGAACAAAAACGUGAUACUCGUAAUGGUUACAUAGGAACAUAAGUAGAUAAGAAAAAUAGCAAAAAGAUAGUGGUCUACCAGAGAGGGCACAUGUGCCUCAAUUGGCCUAUAGCAUAGCGACUCAUUAUCCUUCCACCGCUGGUGGCGGGCGGUACUCGCUGCUCUGUGAAGCCAGCCUCACGCAAUGUCUGCCACUUUAGGUGUUGGGAUGCAAAGGCUUUCGCCAAGGCAUCCGAAACCCACUACACAACUUGGAAUGGGUGGUCCACAGUUGGUAGCACUAGACCCAGGCACAUGCACCACAAUUGACAUCCACACUACCUUAUUGCCCCCGCUCGGGUUACAAGCAAUCGCUACUUGCUCAGCGAGUGAGGGGGUUCAAGACUACCUAUUUAAGGUGGUGUUGUACUCUAUGAGCCGGUGGUGUGGUAUUUACCAACUACAAAUAGUGUCAUGCAUGUGACUUGCUAGUUGACAAUGUCUGUUGUCAAGCUAGGUGUGGGCUAUGGAUGAAGCACAUUAGGAUAUAGUAGGCCUAUUUUGUUUUUUGUUGUUUUUGGGCCACUAUGGACUUUAUGUUGAUGUUGUGAAUUUUUUUUCUUGUGUUUCCUCUUCCUACAAUGUGGAAAGUGGGUGCGUCAGAGAAGAAAGAAAGAGUGGCUAGCAUUGAUUUUACGUCAUACCAUUGAGAACACUAAUCAGAAGCAGAAGCAACAAUAUUUCAUACAUAUACAACACUUGUAAUCCAUAUAAACAACAUUCCUUUAAAAUAUAAUAUAAACCACAUGAUUUAUAUCCUGGGUCGGCUAUCUCCACAAAGGGCAAGAAAACGCUCCAAGUUUGUAGUAUAGCACUAAAAGUGUCGAUUCUCACGAUUUCUUCCCGACAUAUACAAACUAGACAGUAAUCACAUAAAAUAAAGAAAUAUGUGUUAACACGAACUUAUAGCAUGUAUUUCAACAUAUAGAUUGUUGAUUAUUAUGGUAGAUUAUAUAAAAUAGGGGUUCCCGAAGAAAUACAUAAAAACAAGAGCAUUAAAAUUUCCUUUUCAGAUCUGGCUAUCUGGUAAAAGGAGUUGGAGUAACUGAGUUUCCAAAUUUGUGACGUAGCUCUAUAGAAGGAAUAUAAAUACGUUGGAAAAAUUCUAUAAGGAAAGGUUUAAUACAAGUAGGGCUAAGAAAAACUCAAUGAGGCUUUGGUCGCAUGGUCACAAAACUUGAGACAAGAAACACGAAGACACCAAGGUAAUUAGUAUGAGAGUUUUCCAAAUUUGGUGUCUUGAUGUAGAAAAAAUAAAUAUAUGACAAACUUGUUUUUCGCAAGGCAUGGAUAAAUAAGUGGGGGUGAGCAAUAAAUUUCAUCCUAGAUUUAGAAGGAAUAAAUAUAUCACUUAAUAUGUUUUUUCACAAUGCCAAGUUAAUCAGGUGGGAGCGAGAAACAAUUCUAGCGAGGCUAGGUUGUACUAGCCCAAAACUACAUACAACAGAGGAAAAAUGAAGAAAAUGAUGGUCUACCAAAUAUGGUGCAUGAGCCUUAAGGUGCACCUAGAGGGAAGUAGAAGAAAUAAAUAUAUAAUAGCAUAUGUUUUUCGCAAUGCAAGGUAAAGUGUAGAUGUGCUCUAACUGGGCUUAGAUUGCAGCGACACAUUAUGCAUCUACAAGGCUUGGUUGCACAUGGAAAAAGAUAGAGAGAGAAAUGUAGACGCAAGACCGGGAGAAAAACAUUCAAUGAGACGUGAUUGCACGGACAUAGAACUAGAUAAAAGACAAGAGUUAAAGAAAAAUAAAGGAACUAAAUUUUCUUCUGCACACUAAGCAUGAAUGGAGUUGUAGUAUCUGAGAUCAAAAUUUAAUUUAUUCCAAGAUGCAGAACAAAAACGUGAUACUCGUAAUGGUUACAUAGGAACAUAAGUAGAUAAGAAAAAUAGCAAAAAGAUAGUGGUCUACCAGAGAGGGCACAUGUGCCUCAAUUGGCCUAUAGCAUAGCGACUCAUUAUCCUUCCACCGCUGGUGGCGGGCGGUACUCGCUGCUCUGUGAAGCCAGCCUCACGCAAUGUCCGCCACUUUAGGUGUUGGGAUGCAAAGGCUUUUGCCAAGGCAUCCGAAACCCACUACACAACUUGGAAUGGGUGGUCCACAGUUUGUAGCACUAGACCCAGGCACAUGCACCACAAUUGACAUCCACACUACCUUAUUGCCCCCGCUCGGGUUACAAGCAAUCGCUACUUGCUCAACGAGUGAGGGGGUUCAAGACUACCUAUUUAAGGUGGUGUUGUACUCUAUGAGCCGGCGGUGUGGUAUUUACCAACUACAAAUAGUGUCAUGCAUGUGACUUGCUAGUUGACAAUGUCUGUUGUCAAGCUAGGUGUGGGCUAUGGAUGAAGCACAUUAGGAUAUAGUAGGCCUAUUUUGUUUUUUGUUGUUUUUGGGCCACUAUGGACUUUAUGUUGAUGUUGUGAAUUUUUUUUCUUGUGUUUCCUCUUCCUACGAUGUGGAAAGUGGGUGCGUCAGAGAAGAAAGAAAGAGUGGCUAGCAUUGAUUUUACGUCAUACCAUUGAGAACACUAAUCAGAAGCAGAAGCAACAAUAUUUCAUACAUAUACAACACUUGUAAUCCAUAUAAACAACAUUCCUUUAAAAUAUAAUAUAAACCACAUGAUUUAUAUCCUGGGUCAGCUAUCUCCACAAAGGGCAAGAAAACGCUCCAAGUUUGUAGUAUAGCACUAAAAGUGUCGAUUCUCACGAUUUCUUCCCGACAUAUACAAACUAGACAGUAAUCACAUAAAAUAAAGAAAUAUGUGUUAACACGAACUUAUAGCAUGUAUUUCAACAUAUAGAUUGUUGAUUAUUAUGGUAGAUUAUAUAAAAUAGGGGUUCCCGAAGAAAUACAUAAAAACAAGAGCAUUAAAAUUUCCUUUUCAGAUCUGGCUAACUGGUAAAGGGAGUUGGAGUAUCUGAGUUUCCAAAUUUGGGACGUCGCUCUAUAGAAGGAAUAUAAAUACAUUGGAAAAAAUUCUACAAGGAAAGGUUUAAUACAAGUAGCGCUAAGAAAAACUCAAUGAGGCUUUGGUCGCUUGGUCACAAAACUUGAGACAAGAAACACGAAGACACCAAGGUAAUUAGUAUGAGAGUUUUCCAAAUUUGGUGUCUUGAUGUAGAAAAAAUAAAUAUAUGACAAACUUGUUUUUUCGUAAGGCAUGGAUAAAUAAGUGGGGGUGAGCAAUAAAUUUCAUCCUAGAUUUAGAAGGAAUAAAUAUAUCACUAAAUAGGUUUUUUCACAAUGCCAAGUUAAUCAGGUGGGAGCGAGAAACAAUUCUAGCGAGGCUAGGUUGUACUAGCCCAAAACUACAUACAACAGAGGAAAAAUGAAGAAAAUGAUGGUCUACCAAAUAUGGCGCAUGAGCCUUAAGGUGCACCUAGAGGGAAGUAGAAGAAAUAAAUAUAUAAUGGCAUAUGUUUAUCGCAAUGCAAGGUAAAGUGUAGAUGUGCUCUAACUGGGCUUAGAUUGCAGCGACACAUUAUGCAUCUACAAGGCUUGGUUGCACAUGGAAAAAGAUAGAGAGAGAAAUGUAGAUGCAGGACCGGGUGAAAAACAUUCAAUGAGACGUGAUUGCACGGACAUAGAACUAGAUAUAAGACAAGAGUUAAAGAAAAAUAAAGGAACUAAAUUUUCUUCUGCACACUAAGCAUGAAUGGAGUUGUAGUAUCUGAGAUCAAAAUUUAAUUUAUUCCAAGAUGCAGAACAAAAAUGUGAUACUCGUAAUGGUUACAUAGGAGCAAAAGUAGAUAAGAAAAAUAGCAAAAAGAUAGUGGUCUACCAGAGAGGGCACAUGUGCCUCAAUUGUCUUAUAGCAUAGCGACUCAUUAUCCUUCCACCGCUGGUGGCGGGCGGUACUCGCUGCUCUGUGAAGCCAGCCUCACGCAAUGUCCGCCACUUUAGGUGUUGGGAUGCAAAGACUUUCGCCAAGGCAUCCGAAACCCACUACACAACUUGGAAUGGGUGGUCCACUGUUUGUAGCACUAGACCCAGGCACAUGCACCACAAUUGACAUCCACACUACCUUAUUGCCCCGCUCGGGUUACAAGCAAUCGCUACUUGCUCAGCGAGUGAGGGGGUUCAAGACUACCUAUUUAAGGUGGUGUUGUACUCUAUGAGCCGGCGGUGUGGUAUUUACCAACUACAAAUAGUGUCAUGCAUGUGACUUGCUAGUUGACAAUGUCUGUUGUCAAGCUAGGUGUGGGCUAUGGAUGAAGCACAUUAGGAUAUAGUAGGCCUAUUUUGUUUUUUGUUGUUUUUGGGCCACUAUGGACUUUAUGUUGAUGUUGUGAAAUUUUUUUCUUGUGUUUCCUCUUCCUACGAUGUGGAAAGUGGGUGCGUCAGAGAAGAAAGAAAGAGUGGCUAGCAUUGAUUUUACGUCAUACCAUUGAGAACACUAAUCAGAAGCAGAAGCAACAAUAUUUCAUACAUAUACAACACUUGUAAUCCAUAUAAACAACAUUCCUUUAAAAUAUAAUAUAAACCACAUGAUUUAUAUCCUGGGUCGGCUAUCUCCACAAAGGGCAAGAAAACGCUCCAAGUUUGUAGUAUAGCACUAAAAGUGUCGAUUCUCACGAUUUCUUCCCGACAUAUACAAACUAGACAGUAAUCACAUAAAAUAAAGAAAUAUGUGUUAACACGAACUUAUAGCAUGUAUUUCAACAUAUAGAUUUUUGAUUAUUAUGGUAGAUUAUAUAAAAUAGGGGUUCCCGAAGAAAUACAUAAAAACAAGAGCAUUAAAAUUUCCUUUUCAGAUCUGGCUAUCUGGUAAAAGGAGUUGGAGUAACUGAGUUUCCAAAUUUGUGACGUAGCUCUAUAGAAGGAAUAUAAAUACGUUGGAAAAAUUCUAUAAGGAAAGGUUUAAUACAAGUAGGGCUAAGAAAAACUCAAUGAGGCUUUGGUCGCAUGGUCACAAAACUUGAGACAAGAAACACGAAGACACCAAGGUAAUUAGUAUGAGAGUUUUCCAAAUUUGGUGUCUUGAUGUAGAAAAAAUAAAUAUAUGACAAAUUUGUUUUUUCGCAAGGCAUGGAUAAAUAAGUGGGGGUGAGCAAUAAAUUUCAUCCUAGAUUUAGAAGGAAUAAAUAUAUCACUAAAUACAUUUUUUCACAAUGCCAAAUUAAUCAGGUGGGAGCGAGAAACAAUUGUAGCGAGGCUAGGUUGUACUAGCCCAAAACUACAUACAACAGAGGAAAAAUGAAGAAAAUGAUGGUCUACCAAAUAUGGCGCAUGAGCCUUAAGGUGCACCUAGAGGGAAGUAGAAGAAAUAAAUAUAUAAUAGCAUAUGUUUUUCGCAAUGCAUGGUAAAGUGUAGAUGUGCUCUAACUGGGCUUAGAUUGCAGCGACACAUUAUGCAUCUACAAGGCUUGGUUGCACAUGGAAAAAGAUACAAAAAGAAAUGUAGACGCAGGACCGGGAGAAAAACAUUCAAUGAGACGUGAUUGCACGGACAUAGAACUAGAUAUAAGACAAGAGUUAAAGAAAAAUAAAGGAACUAAAUUUUCUUCUGCACACUAAGCAUGAAUGGAGUUGUAGUAUCUGAGAUCAAAAUUUAAUUUAUUCCAAGAUGCAGAACAAAAAUUUGAUACUCGUAAUGGUUACAUAGGAGCAAAAGUAGAUAAGAAAAAUAGCAAAAAGAUAGUGGUCUACCAGAGAGGGCACAUGUGCCUCAAUUGGCCUAUAGCAUAGCGACUCAUUAUCCUUCCACCGCUGGUGGCGGGCGGUACUCGCUGCUCUGUGAAGCCAGCCUCACACAAUGUCCGCCACUUUAGGUGUUGGGAUGCAAAGGCUUUCGCCAAGGCAUCCGAAACCCACUACACAACUUGGAAUGGGUGGUCCACUGUUUGUAGCACUAGACCCAGGCACAUGCACCACAAUUGACAUCCACACUACCUUAUUGCCCCGCUCGGGUUACAAGCAAUCGCUACUUGCUCAGCGAGUGAGGGGGUUCAAGACUACCUAUUUAAGGUGGUGUUGUACUCUAUGAGCCGGCGGUGUGGUAUUUACCAACUACAAAUAGUGUCAUGCAUGUGACUUGCUAGUUGACAAUGUCUGUUGUCAAGCUAGGUGUGGGCUAUGGAUGAAGCACAUUAGGAUAUAGUAGGCCUAUUUUGUUUUUUGUUGUUUUUGGGCCACUAUGGACUUUAUGUUGAUGUUGUGAAAUUUUUUUCUUGUGUUUCCUCUUCCUACGAUGUGGAAAGUGGGUGCGUCAGAGAAGAAAGAAAGAGUGGCUAGCAUUGAUUUUACGUCAUACCAUUGAGAACACUAAUCAGAAGCAGAAGCAACAAUAUUUCAUACAUAUACAACACUUGUAAUCCAUAUAAACAACAUUCCUUUAAAAUAUAAUAUAAACCACAUGAUUUAUAUCCUGGGUCGGCUAUCUCCACAAAGGGCAAGAAAACGCUCCAAGUUUGUAGUAUAGCACUAAAAGUGUCGAUUCUCACGAUUUCUUCCCGACAUAUACAAACUAGACAGUAAUCACAUAAAAUAAAGAAAUAUGUGUUAACACAAACUUAUAGCAUGUAUUUCAACAUAUAGAUUGUUGAUUAUUAUGGUAGAUUAUAUAAAAUAGGGGUUCCCGAAGAAAUACAUAAAAACAAGAGCAUUAAAAUUUCCUUUUCAGAUCUGGCUAUCUGGUAAAAGGAGUUGGAGUAACUGAGUUUCCAAAUUUGUGACGUAGCUCUAUAGAAGGAAUAUAAAUACGUUGGAAAAAUUCUAUAAGGAAAGGUUUAAUACAAGUAGGGCUAAGAAAAACUCAAUGAGGCUUUGGUCGCAUGGUCACAAAACUUGAGACAAGAAACACGAAGACACCAAGGUAAUUAGUAUGAGAGUUUUCCAAAUUUGGUGUCUUGAUGUAGAAAAAAUAAAUAUAUGACAAAUUUGUUUUUUCGCAAGGCAUGGAUAAAUAGGUGGGGGUGAGCAAUAAAUUUCAUCCUAGAUUUAGAAGGAAUAAAUAUAUCACUAAAUAUGUUUUUUCACAAUGCCAAGUUAAUCAGGUGGGAGCGAGAAACAAUUCUAGCGAGGCUAGGUUGUACUAGCCCAAAACUACAUACAACAGAGGAAAAAUGAAGAAAAUGAUGGUCUACCAAAUAUGGCGCAUGAGCCUUAAGGUGCACCUAGAGGGAAGUAGAAGAAAUAAAUAUAUAAUAGCAUAUAUUUUUCGCAAUGCAUGGUAAAGUGUAGAUGUGCUCUAACUGGGCUUAGAUUGCAGCGACACAUUAUGCAUCUACAAGGCUUGGUUGCACAUGGAAAAAGAUACAGAAAGAAAUGUAGACGCAGGACCGGGAGAAAAACAUUCAAUGAGACGUGAUUGCACAGACAUAGAACUAGAUAUAAGACAAGAGUUAAAGAAAAAUAAAGGAACUAAAUUUUCUUCUGCACACUAAGCAUGAAUGGAGUUGUAGUAUCUGAGAUCAAAAUUUAAUUUAUUCCAAGAUGCAGAACAAAAAUGUGAUACUCGUAAUGGUUACAUAGGAACAAAAGUAGUUAAGAAAAAUAGCAAAAAGAUAGUGGUCUACCAGAGAGGGCACAUGUGCCUCAAUUGGCCUAUAGCAUAGCGACUCAUUAUCCUUCCACCGCUGGUGGCGGGCGGUACUCGCUGCUCUGUGAAGCCAGCCUCACGCAAUGUCCGCCACUUUAGGUGUUGGGAUGCAAAGGCUUUCGCCAAGGCAUCCGAAACCCACUACACAACUUGGAAUGGGUGGUCCACAGUUUGUAGCACUAGACCCAGGCACAUGCACCACAAUUGACAUCCACACUACCUUAUUGCCCCCGCUCGGGUUACAAGCAAUCGCUACUUGCUCAGCGAGUGAGGGGGGGUCAAGACUACCUAUUUAAGGUGGUGUUGUACUCUAUGAGCAGGCGGUCUGGUAUUUACCAACUACAAAUAGUGUCAUGCAUGUGACUUGCUAGUUGACAAUGUCUGUUGUCGAGUUAGAUGUGGGCUAUGGAUGAAGCACAUUAGGAUAUAGUAGGCCUAUUUUGUUUUUUGUUGUUUUUGGGCCACUAUGGACUUUCUGUUGAUGUUGUGAAAUUUUUUCUUGUGUUUCCUCUUCCUACGAUGUGGAAAGUGGGUGCGUCAGAGAAGAAAGAAAGAGUGGCUAGCAUUGAUUUUACGUCAUACCAUUGAGAACACUAAUUAGAAGCAGAAGCAACAAUAUUUCAUACAUAUACAACACUUGUAAUCCAUAUAAACAACUUUCCUUUAAAAUAUAAUAUAAACCACAUGAUUUAUAUCCUGGGUCGGCUAUCUCUACAAAGGGCGAGAAAACGCUCCAAGUUUGUAGUAUAGAACUAAAAGUGUCGAUUCUCAUGAUUUUUCCGACAUAUACAAACUAGACAGUAAUCACAUAAAAUAAAGAAAUAUGUGUUAACACGAACUUAUAGCAUGUAUUUCAACAUACAUAUUGUUGAUUAUUAUGGUAGAUUAUAUAAAAUAGGGGUUCCCGAAGAAAUACAUAAAAACAAGAGCAUUAAAAUUUCCUUUUUAGAUCUGGCUAUCUGGUAAAAGGAGUUGGAGUAACUGAGUUUCCAAAUUUGUGACGUAGCUCUAUAGAAGGAAUAUAAAUACGUUGCAAAAAUUCUACAAGGAAAGGUUAAUACAAGUAGGGCUAAGAAAAACUCAAUUAGGCUUUGGUCGCAUGGUCACAAAACUUGAGACAAGAAACACGAAGACACCAAGGUAAUUAGUAUGAGAGUUUUCGAAAUUUGGUGUCUUGAUGUAGAAAAAAUAAAUAUAUGACAAACUUGUUUUUUCUCAAGGCAUGGAUUGAGAGCACCUAGAGGGGGGGGUGAAUAGGUGAUCCUGUGAAACUUGAAAACUUAAGCCACAAAACUUGGUUAAUCGUUAGCACAAUAAUUGCCAAGUGGCUAAAUAGGAAUCCUCAACAAAAUACAAUAACCAACAAAGAUCAAUCACAGAGAUGACACGGUGGUUAUCCCAUGGUUCGGCCAAGACCAACGCUUGCCUACUCCAUGUUGUGGCGUCCCAACGGACGAGGGUUGCAAUCAACCCCUCUCAAGCGGUCCAAAGACCCACUUGAAUACCACGGUGUUUUGCUUUGCUUAUCUUUAUCCCACUUGCGAGGAAUCUCCACAAAUUGGAGUCUCUCGCCCUUACACUUAAAGUUCACAAAGAAGCACGGAGUAAGGGAGGGAAGCAACACACACAAAUCCACAGCAAAAUGCGCACACACACGGCCAAGAAUCGAGCUCAAAAGACUAUCUCAAAGUUCUCACUAGAACGGAGCUCGAAUCACUGAGAAUGACAAACGAAUGCGCAAAGACUGAGUGUGGAUGAUCAAGAAUGCUCUAAGGUUGCUUGGUUUUUCUCCUCCAUGCGCCUAGGGGUCCCUUUUAUAGCCCCAAGGCGGCUAGGAGCCGUUGAGAACAAAUCUGGAAGGCCAUCCUUGCCUUCUGUCGUCGGGCGCACCGGACAGUCCGGUGCACACCGGACACUGUCCGGUGCCCGAUUUCCUUCCUUAAAUGGCGAAGCCGACCGUUGCAGAUGUGGGAGCCGUUGGCGCACCGGACAUGUCCGGUGCACACCGGACAGUCCGGUGCCCCCUUCCGACCGUUGGCUCGGCCACGUGUCGCGCGCGGAUUCCGUGGCCGACCGUUGGCCCGGCCGACCGUUGGCUCACCGGACAGUCCGGUGCACACCGGACAGUCCGGUGAAUUUUAGGCGUACGUCGCCGGUGAAUUCCCGAGAGCGGCCAGUUCGCUCGAGCCAGCCUGGCGCACCGGACACAGUCCGGUGCACCACCGGACAGUCCGGUGCCCCAGACCGAAACAGCCUCUUGGCUGUACACAGCCAACUCUUCUCUUUCCUUCUUCUUUUUGUUUCUGAUACUUAGACAAGUAUAUUAGUACACAAAACCAAUGUACUAAGACUUAGAAACAUACCUUUGCUCUUGAUUUGCACUUUGUCCAUUCAUGGGCAUAGAUUUACAUUUAAUUACUUGUGUUGGCACUCAAUCACCAAAAUACUUAGAAAUGGCCCAAGGGCACAUUUCCCUUUCAAUCUCCCCCUUUUUGGUGAUUUAUGCCAACACAACAUAAAGCAACUAGAACAAGUGCAAUAUUACUUCAAAUAAAAACUCAAAUUCAUUUUGAUUCAAUUUGGCAUAUAUGGAUCAUCCUUUGCCACCACUUGGUUUGUUUUUGCAAAUCAAACUCAAAAUCCUAUCUCUAAGUCAAAUCCACUUGUAGAGACAUAAAGAGAGGUUUUCCAUAGAAGAUUGAUUCAAGAUUCCAAAAACUCCCCCUUUUUCCCAUAAUCAACACUUCACCCCACAAGAGGCCAACUUUUGAUAAAAGAGACAAUGCAAGAGUAUUGACAAACCAAAAGCUCUAUCCUACUGUUUUCAAAGUUUCUCAAGUGGUAGCUGAUCCAUUUAUUGCUUUGGCCUUUAUUUUCUCCCCCUUUGGCGUCAAGCACCAAAACGGGAUCAAUCUUGGCCCUUUAACCCCAUUGCCUCACCAAAAUCUUCAAUUAAGAGCAAAUAGGCAAUAAGAGUUAAAAGAUGAACUUGGAAAAGUUACUCUUUUCAUCGGAGUGCAGUGGAAGUCUUGCAUGGUCCAAGUCCACCUUUUCCCUUUUAAUUCUCCUUCGAGACUAAAACAAGCAAACUCAAGCAUAUGGUUAGUCUCAAAGGGUCAAGUUGUAACACAUCUCCCCCUAAAACUGUGCAUCACUUUGCAACGGACUUGUGAGGUCCAGGGAGUGUUUGUACAACUUGAGCACCAUACUAAACAACAAAAUGCAAAAAGGAUCAUGAUCAAAAGCAUAAAUACAUGUAUGCUACAAUUCAAUCCAAGUUCCGCGAAUCUACGACAUUUAGCUCACUACGCAGCCUGCAAAAGGUCUUCUCAUCUAGAGGCUUGGUAAAGAUAUCGGCUAGCUGGUUCUCGGUGCUAACAUGAAACACUUCGAUAUCUCCCUUUUGCUGGUGAUCUCUCAAAAAGUGAUGCCGGAUGUCAAUGUGCUUUGUGCGGCUGUGUUCAACAGGAUUUUCCGCCAUGCGGAUAGCACUCUCAUUGUCACAUAGGAGUGGGACUUUGCUCAGAUUGUAGCCAAAGUCCCUGAGGGUUUGCCUCAUCCAAAGUAGUUGCGCGCAACACUGUCCUGCGGCAACAUACUCGGCCUCAGCGGUGGAUAGGGCAACGGAGGUUUGUUUCUUAGAGUUCCACGACACCAGGGACCUUCCUAAGAAUUGGCACGUCCCUGAUGUACUCUUCCUAUCGACCUUACAUCCAGCAUAGUCGGAAUCUGAGUUUCCAACCAAGUCAAAGGUAGACCCCUUUGGAUACCAGAGCCCGAAGCAAGGCGUAGCAACCAAAUAUCUAAGAAUUCGCUUCACCGCCACUAAGUGACACUCCUUAGGAUUGGAUUGAAAUCUAGCACACAUGCAUACGCUAAGCAUAAUAUCCGGUCUACUAGCACAUAAAUAAAGUAAAGACCCUAUCAUUGACCGGUAUGCUUUUUGAUCAACGGACUUACCUCCUUUGUUGAGGUCGGUGUGUCCGUCGGUCCCCAUCGGAGUCUUUGCGGGCUUGGCGUCCUUCAUCCCAAACCGCUUCAGCAGGUCUUGCGUGUACUUUGUUUGGGAGAUGAAGGUGCCGUCCUUGAGUUGCUUCACUUGAAACCCAAGGAAGUAGUUCAACUCGCCCAUCAUCGACAUCUCGAAUUUCUGCAUCAUAACCCUGCUAAACUCUUCACAAGACUUUUGGUUAGUAGAACCAAAUAUUAUGUCAUCGACAUAAAUUUGGCACACAAACAAAUCACCAUCACAUGUCUUAGUAAAAAGAGUUGGAUCGGCUUUCCCAACCUUGAAGGCAUUUGCAAUUAAAAAGUCUUUAAGGCAUUCAUACCAUGCUCUUGGGGCUUGCUUAAGUCCAUAGAGCGCCUUAGAGAGCUUACACACGUGGUCGGGGUACCGUUCAUCCUCGAAGCCAGGGGGUUGCUCUACGUACACCUCCUCCUUGAUUGGCCCGUUGAGGAAAGCGCUCUUCACAUCCAUUUGGAACAACCUGAAAGAAUGGUGAGCGACAUAUGCUAGCAAGAUACGAAUUGAUUCUAGCCUAGCCACAGGAGCAAACGUCUCCUCAAAGUCCAAACCUGCGACUUGGGCAUAACCUUUUGCCACAAGUCGAGCCUUGUUCCUCGUCACCACCCCGUGCUCGUCCUGUUUGUUGCGGAAUACCCACUUGGUUCCCACAACGUUUUGCUUGGGACGAGGCACCAGUGUCCAAACUUCAUUUCGCUUGAAGUUGUUGAGUUCCUCCUGCAUGGCUAACACCCAGUCCGGAUCUAGCAAGGCCUCUUCUACCCUGAAAGGCUCAAUAGAAGAGACAAAGGAGUAAUGCUCACAAAAAUUAACUAAUCGAGAUCGAGUAGUUACUCCCUUGCUAAUAUCACCCAGAAUUUGGUCGACGGGAUGAUCCCUUUGAAUCAUCGCUCGAACUUGGGUUGGAGGUGCCGGUUGUGCUUCUUCCUCCAUCACAUGAUCAUCUUGUGCUCCCCAUUGAUCACACUCCUCUUGAUGAACCUGUUCAUCGUUUUGAGUUGGGGGAUGCAUCAUUGUUGAGGAAGAAGGUUGAUCUUGCUCCAAUUGUUCCUGUGGUCGCACAUCACCAAUCGCCAUGGUGCGCAUAGCGGCCGUUGGAACGUCUUCUUCAUCUAAAUCAUCAAGAUCAACAACUUGCUCUCUUGGAGAGCCAUUAGUCUCAUCAAAUACAACGUCGCUAGAGACUUCAACCAAACCCGAUGAUUUGUUGAAGACUCUAUACGCCUUUGUAUUUGACUCAUAACCUAACAAAAACCCUUCUACAGCUUUGGGAGCAAACUUAGAAUUUCUACCCUUCUUUACUAGAAUGUAGCACUUGCUCCCAAAUACACGAAAGUAAGAUACAUUGGGUUUGUUACCGGUUAGUAGCUCAUACGAAGUCUUCUUGAGGAGGCGAUGAAGGUAGACCCUGUUGAUGGCGUGGCAAGCCAUGUUCACGGCUUCCGACUAGAAACACUCGGGGGUCUUGAAUUCUCCAAGCAUCGUCCUCGCCAUAUCGAUUAGUGUCCUGUUCUUCCUCUCUACCACACCAUUUUGCUGUGGUGUGUAGGGAGCGGAGAACUCGUGCUUGAUCCCUUCCUCCUCAAGGAACUCCUCCACUUGAAGAUUCUUGAAAUCGGACCCGUUGUCGCUCCUUAUCUUCUUCACCUUGAGCUCAAACUCAUUUUGAGCUCUCCUAAGGAAGCGCUUGAGGGUCCCUUGGGUUUCAGACUUAUCCUGCAAAAAGAACACCCAAGUGAAGCGGGAAAAGUCAUCGACAAUAACUAGACCAUACUUACUUCCCCCUAUGCUCAGAUAGGCGACGGGUCCGAAGAGGUCCAUAUGCAGCAGCUCCAGGGGUCUUGAAGUGGUCAUCACAUUCUUGCUGUGAUGCGCUCCUCCCACUUGUUUACCUGCUUGACAAGCUGCACAAGGUCUAUCUUUUUCGAAUUGUACGUUAGUCAAACCUAUCACGUGUUCUCCCUUUAGAAGCUUGUGAAGGUUCUUCAUCCCCACAUGUGCUAAGCGGCGAUGCCACAGCCAGCCCAUGCUAGUCUUAGCAAUUAAGCAUGCAUCUAGACCGGCCUCUUCUUUUGCAAAAUCAACUAAGUAAAGCUUGCCGUCUAAUACACCCUUAAAAGCUAGUGAACCAUCACUUCUUCUAAAGACAGACACAUCUACAUUUGUAAAUAGACAGUUAUAUCCCAUAUUGCAUAAUUGACUAACAGAUAACAAAUUAUAUCCAAGAGACUCUACUAAAAACACAUUAGAGAUAGAGUGCUCAUUAGAAAUUGCAAUUUUACCUAACCCUUUUACCUUGCCUUGAUUCCCAUCACCGAAUAUAAUUGAAUCUUGGGAAUCCUUAUUCUUGACGUAGGAGGUGAACAUCUUCUUCUCCCCCGUCAUAUGGUUUGUGCAUCCGCUGUCGAUAAUCCAGCUUGAACCCCCGGAUGCAUAAACCUGCAAGGCAAAUUUAGGCUUGGGACUUAGGUACCCAACUCUUGUUGGGUCCUACAAGGUUAGUCACAAUUUCCUUAGGGAUCCAAAUGCAAGUUUUAUCACCCUUGCAUUUUGCCCCUAACUUCCUAGCAAUCACCUUUCUAUCCUUUCUACAAAUUGCAAAGGAAGCAUUCAAAGCAUGAUAUAUUGUAGAAGGCUCAUUAACUUUCCUAGGCACAUUAACAACAUUUCUCCUAGGCAUAUUAUGAACAACAUUUCUCCUACCAACGUUCCUAUCAUGCUCAUAGAAAGAACUAGAAGCAACCAUGUCAUGAUAAACAUAUGAAUCAAAAACAUUAUAACUUCUAUUUGCAUUUCUAGUAUGUCUCCUAUCAUGAUACAUAAAAGCAUGGUUCUUUUUAGCACUACCAGCCAUAGGGGCCUUCCCUUUCUCCUUGGCGGAAAUGGGAGCCUUAUGGCUUGUUAAGUUCUUGGCUUCCCUCUUGAAGCCAAGUCCAUCCUUAAUUGAGGGAUGUCUACCAAUCGUAUAGGCAUCCCUUGCAAAUUUUAAUUUAUCAAAUUCGCUUUUGCUAGUCUUAAGUUGGGCAUUAAGACUAGCCACUUCAUCAUUCAAUUUAGAAAUUGAAACUAGGUGUUCACUACAAGCAUCAACAUUAAAAUCUUUACACCUAGUGCAAACCAUAACAUGUUCUACACAAGAGUUAGAUUUACUAGCCACUUCUAGUUUAGCAUUUAAAUCAUUAUUAACACCUUUUAAAGUAGCAAUGGUUUCAUGACAAGAAGAUAAUUCACUAGAAAGCACUUCAUUUCUUUUAACUUCUAAAGCAUAAGAUUUUUGUGCCUCUACAAAUUUGUCAUGCUCUUCAUAUAAAAGAUCCUCUUGUUUUUCUAAGAGUCUAUCCUUUUCAUUCAAGGCAUCAAUCAAUUCAUUAAUCUUUUCUACUUUAGUUCUAUCCAAUCCCUUGAACAAACUAGAGUAAUCUAUUUCUUCAUCACUGGACUCAUCAUCACUAGAAGAAUCAUAAGUGACAUUGUUUUGAUUGCAUACCUUCUUCUCCCUUGCCAUAAGGCAUGUGUGACGCUCGUUGGGGAAGAGGGAUGACUUGUUGAAGGCGGUGGCGGCGAGUCCUUCAUUGUCGGAGUCGGAGGAGAAGCAAUCUGAAUCCCACUCCUUUCCGAUAUGUGCCUCGCCCUUGGCCUUCUUGUAAUGCUUCUUCUUCUCCCUUUUGUUCCCCUUUUCCUGGUCACUUUCAUUAUCGGGACAGUUAGCAAUGAAAUGACCAAUCUUACCGCAUUUGAAGCACGAGCGCUUCUCCUUUGUCUUGGUCUUGCUUGGCUGUCCCUUGCGACCUUUAAGCGCCGUCUUGAAGCGCUUAAUGAUGAGGGCCAUCUCCUCAUUAUUUAGCCCGGCCGCCUCAACUUGCGCCACCUUGCUCGGUAGCGCCUCCUUGCUCCUCGUUGCCUUGAGAGCAAUGGGUUGAGGCUCAUGAAUAGGACCGUUCAACGCGUCGUCCACAUAUCUUGCCUCCUUGAUCAUCAUUCGCCCGCUUACGAACUUCCCCAGAACUUCUUCGGGCGACAUCUUGGUGUACCUAGGAUUUUCACGAAUAUUGUUCACCAAAUGAGGAUCAAGAACGGUAAAGGACCUUAGCAUUAGGCGGACGACGUCGUGAUCCGUCCAUCGCGUGCUUCCGUAGCUCCUUAUUUUGUUGAUAAGGGUCUUGAGCCGGUUGUAUGUUUGAGUUGGCUCCUCGCCCCUUAUCAUUGCGAACCGUCCAAGCUCGCCCUCCACCAACUCCAUCUUGGUGAGUAAGGUGACAUCGUUCCCCUCAUGAGAGAUCUUGAGGGUGUCCCAGAUCUGCUUGGCAUUGUCCAAGCCGCUCACCUUAUGGUACUCGUCCCUGCACAAAGAGGCUAGCAACACAGUAGUAGCUUGUGCAUUUUUAUGAAUCUGUUCAUUAAUAAACAUGGGACUAUCCGUACUAUCAAAGUGCAUUCCACUUUCUACAAUCUCCCAUAUGCUAGGAUGGAGAGAGAACAAGUGACUACGCAUUUUGUGACUCCAAAAUCCGUAGUCCUCUCCAUCAAAAUGAGGAGGUUUACUAAGUGGAAUAGAUAAUAACUGAGCAUUAGUACUUUGAGGAAUACGAGAGUAAUCAAAAGAAAAGUACGAAUUGACCGGUUUCUUUCUCUCGUAUUCGUUGUGGUCGUCGUCCUUUUGGGAGGAAGUAGACUCAUCGCUGUCGUAGUAGACGAUCUCCUUGAUGUGUCUUGUCUUCUUCUUCUUCCCAUCUUUGCGUCUGUGGCCCGAGCCCGAGUCGUUGGACUUGUCAUCCCUUGGCUCGUUGACGAAGGACUCCUUCUCCUUGUCGUUGAUCACGAUUCCCUUCCCUUUAGGAUCCAUCUCUUCGGGCGGUUAGUCCCUUUGUGAAGAGAACGGCUCUGAUACCAAUUGAGAGCACCUAGAGGGGGGGUGAAUAGGUGAUCCUGUGAAACUUGAAAACUUAAGCCACAAAACUUGGUUAAUCGUUAGCACAAUAAUUGCCAAGUGGCUAAAUAGGAAUCCUCAACAAAAUACAAUAACCAACAAAGAUCAAUCACAGAGAUGACACGGUGGUUAUCCCGUGGUUCGGCCAAGACCAACGCUUGCCUACUCCACGUUGUGGCGUCCCAACGGACGAGGGUUGCAAUCAACCCCUCUCAAGCGGUCCAAAGACCCACUUGAAUACCACGGUGUUUUGCUUUGCUUAUCUUUAUCCCACUUGCGAGGAAUCUCCACAAAUUGGAGUCUCUCGCCCUUACACUUAAAGUUCACAAAGAAGCACGGAGUAAGGGAGGGAAGCAACACACACAAAUCCACAGCAAAAUGCGCACACACACGGCCAAGAAUCGAGCUCAAAAGACUAUCUCAAAGUUCUCACUAGAACGGAGCUCGAAUCACUGAGAAUGACAAACGAAUGCGCAAAGACUGAGUGUGGAUGAUCAAGAAUGCUCUAAGGUUGCUUGGUUUUUCUCCUCCAUGCGCCUAGGGGUCCCUUUUAUAGCCCCAAGGCGGCUAGGAGCCGUUGAGAACAAAUCUGGAAGGCCAUCCUUGCCUUCUGUCGUCGGGCGCACCGGACAGUCCGGUGCACACCGGACACUGUCCGGUGCCCGAUUUCCUUCCUUAAAUGGCGAAGCCGACCGUUGCAGAUGUGGGAGCCGUUGGCGCACCGGACAUGUCCGGUGCACACCAGACAGUCCGGUGCCCCCUUCCGACCGUUGGCUCGGCCACGUGUCGCGCGCGGAUUCCGCGGCCGACCGUUGGCCCGGCCGACCGUUGGCUCACCGGACAGUCCGGUGCACACCGGACAGUCCGGUGAAUUUUAGGCGUACGUCGCCGGUGAAUUCCCGAGAGCGGCCAGUUCGCUCGAGCCAGCAUGGCGCACCGGACACUGUCCGAUGCACCACCGGACAGUCCGGUGCCCCAGACCGAAACAGCCUCUUGGCUGUACACAGCCAACUCUUCUCUUUCCUUCUUCUUUCUGUUUCUGAUACUUAGACAAGUAUAUUAGUACACAAAACCAAUGUACUAAGACUUAGAAACAUACCUUUGCUCUUGAUUUGCACUUUGUCCAUUCAUGGGCAUAGAUUUACAUUUAAGCACUUGUGUUGGCACUCAAUCACCAAAAUACUUAGAAAUGGCCCAAGGGCACAUUUCCCUUUCAUGGAUAAAUAAGUGGGGGUGAGCAAUAAAUUUCAUCCUAGAUUUAGAAGGAAUAAAUAUAUCACUAAAUACGUUUUUUUUUACAAUGGCAAGUUAAUCAGGUGGGAGCGAGAAACAAUUCUAGCGAGGCUAGGUUGUACUAGCCCAAAAUUACAUACAACAGAGGAAAAAUGAAGAAAAUGAUGGUCUACCAAAUAUGGCGCAUGAGCCUUAAGGUGCACCUAGAGGGAAGUAGAAGAAUAAAUAUAUAAUAGCAUAUGUUUUUCGCAAUGCAAGGUAAAGUGUAGAUGUGCUCUAACUGGGCUUAGAUUGCAGCGACACAUUAUGCAUCUACAAGGCUUGGUUGCACAUGGAAAAAGAUAGAGAGAGAAAUGUAGACGCAGGACCGGGAGAAAACAUUCAAUGAGACGUGAUUGCACGGACAUAGAACUAGAUAUAAGACAAGAGUUAAAGAAAAAAAGGAACUAAAUUUUCUUGUGCACACUAAGCAUGAAUGGAGUUGUAGUAUCUGAGAUCAAAAUUUAAUUUAUUCCAAGAUGCAGAACAAAAACGUGAUAUUCGUAAUGGUUACAUAGGAACAAAAGUAGAUAAGAAAAAUAGCAAAAAGAUAGUGGUCUACCAGAGAGGGCACAUGUGCCUCAAUUGGCCUAUAGCAUAGUGGCUCAUUAUCCUUCCACCGCUGGUGGCGGGCGGUACUCGCUGCUCUGUGAAGCCAGCCUCACGCAAUGUCCGCCACUUUAGGUGUUGGGAUGCAAAGGCUUUCGCCAAGGCAUCCGAAACCCACUACACAACUUGGAAUGGGUGGUCCACAAUUUGUAGCACUAGACCCAUACACAUGCACCACAAUUGAUAUCCACACUACCUUAUUGCCCCCGCUCGGGUUACAAGCAAUCGCUACU